rnacentral:rRNA from 1 species
CAUCACUACGCUAGAUGCAUAUCAAUAAGCGGAGGAAAAGAAACUAACAAGGAUUCCCCUUAGUAACGGCGAGUGAAGCGGGAAGAGCUCAAAUUUGAAAUCUUCAAGGUUCUGACCCUGACGAAUUGUAGUUUAAAGAAGUGUUUUCUGUUAGGAGUUAGGUAAAAGUUCUUUGGAAUAGGACAUCAUAGAGGGUGAGAAUCCCGUAUUUGACUAUUCUUUCUAGCUUUGUGAUACACUUUCAAAGAGUCGGAUUGUUUGGGAAUGCAGCCCAAAAUGGGUGGUAAAUUUCAUCUAAAGCUAAGUAUUGGCGAGAGACCGAUAGCGAACAAGUACCGUGAGGGAAAGAUGAAAAGAACUUUGAAAAGAGAGUUAAACAGUACGUGAAAUUGUCAAAAGGGAAGCGUUUGACACCAGUGUUGUUUUUCCGAAAAUCAAUUAAAAAUUGAUUCAUGCCAGGUUGUAUUGACCUUAUCAGCUUGCAAUUUGGUUUUGGGUCUCUUUUUGAUGCACUUUUCGGUUAACAAGUCAACAUCAAUUUCCUUUGCUGUAAAAAGGUAAGAGGAAGGUGGCUUCAAUUUCGGUUGAAGUGUUUAUAGCCUUUUAUCUCUGCAGUCGGGGAGAUUGAGGUCUGCAGCGUAGAUCCUUCGGGGCUAGAUACAUUUAUGCUAAGUUAUAGCUUUUCAUAGACAACUUGUUGACUAUGUUUAGUCAUGUAGCUUACUCGUAAGUGCUAUUUUACCUACGCUUAGGAUGUUGAUAUGCAUGACUGAUA